AACGCGAAGAACCUUACCAGGGUUUGACAUGCUCUCUAUGAACUCUUGAAAGAGAGUUCUUCACUUCGGGUGGGAGAUGCACAGGUGCUGCAUGGCUGUCGUCAGCUCGUGUCGUGAGAUGUUGGGUUAAGUCCCGCAACGAGCGCAACCCUCGUCUUCUGUUGCCAUCAGGUCAAGCUGGGCACUCUGAAGAAACUGCCGGUGAUAAGCCGGAGGAAGGUGGGGAUGACGUCAAGUCCUCAUGGCCCUUACAUCCUGGGCUACACACGUGUUACAAUGGCAGUGACAAUGAGUUGCGAUCGCGCAAGCGCUAGCUAAUCUCAAAAAGCUGCCUCAGUUUGGAUUGUACUCUGCAACUCGAGUACAUGAAAUUGGAAUCGCUAGUAAUCGUAGAUCAGCACGCUACGGUGAAUACGUUCCCGGGCCUUGUACACACCGAGACGUA
rnacentral:rRNA from 1 species